AUUGAACGCUGGCGGCAUGCGUUACACAUGCAAGUCGAACGGUAACAGGGAGCUUGCUCCGCUGACGAGUGGCGAACGGGUGAGUAAUGCGUCGGAACGUGCCGAGUAGUGGGGGAUAACGCAUCGAAAGGUGUGCUAAUACCGCAUACGUACUGAGGUAGAAAGUGGGGGACCUUCGGGCCUCACGCUAUUCGAGCGGCCGACGUCUGAUUAGCUAGUUGGUGAGGUAAAGGCUCACCAAGGCGACGAUCAGUAGCGGGUCUGAGAGGAUGAUCCGCCACACUGGGACUGAGACACGGCCCAGAGUCCUACGGGAGGCAGCAGUGGGGAAUUUUGGACAAUGGGCGCAAGCCUGAUCCAGCCAUGCCGCGUGUCUGAAGAAGGCCUUCGGGUUGUAAAGGACUUUUGUCCGGGAGCAAAUGCCUGGUGUUAAUAGCACUGGGAGCUGAGAGUACCGGAAGAAUAAGCACCGGCUAACUACGUGCCAGCCGCCGCGGUAACAC
rnacentral:rRNA from 1 species